UUAUUCCUAAAAAAAAAAAAAAAAAAAAAAAAAGAGGAAGUUGUUUUAACAUUAUCACAUAUCAGAUUAACAUAUCAAGUACAAAUGUCUUUAGAGAACCUGUCAUGAUCACAUUUAUGAAAAUUCAGUACAUUUAUGAAAAUUCAUGUAAAAAAUUACAUUUUUCAAUAUAUUUCAAUAUAUAAGAUUUUAAAUGGUAAUACAUUUUACAAUAUCACUGUUUUUACUGUAUUUUUGAUCAAAUAAAUGUAGCUUUGGUGAGACUUUACAAAUAUCUUGCCAACCUCAAAAUUAUUAUAUGUAUUUUAUAAAGGGGUGGAAUGUAACCUGGACAAUAAUGGGUAAUUUCGAUGGCCCACUUUAGACAUUUUACUAACUAUAAGUAACUUUGCAACUACGUGUCAACUAACUCUCAUUAGAGUAUUAGUAGACUGUCUUUUAAUAUCCGCUAGCACUUUAUUUUGAUGCUCCCAACAGACAUUUUACUGACUAAAGUAACUUUGCAAGUACAUGUCAACUUAUUCUACUUAUUGACACCUAACCCUAACCUCACAAUCUACUAAUACUCUAACAGUGUCUAAAGUGGACCAUCGAAAUAAAGUGUAACUCAAUAAUGUAACUGACAGUUCUGCUUGAGUGUUCAGAUCAGUAGCAAUGUGUGUUAUCAGCAGCUUCUCUGAGAUGACGUCAGAGCUGUAAAGAAGUAAACCAUUAAAAUAGAAUCUAUAAAAACAAGACUAAGCACCAGAACACAGAGAUAAUAGAAACCUGUGUCUGAAGAGCUGCUGGUGAUAUCUAAACUGAAGAUUUAUGGACACUUAACGGCUCUACUUCCCAGACGCUGGUACAGUGUAACUACAUGAGUAAAUAAAACUGUAUCUGUUUCUGGGAAAUAAUGUAGGAGAUUCUGAAGAAGUCUGGGUGUUUUGGUUCCUCUAAAUGUGGUGAAGCUUACUGGAGGAGGUUCUUUAUUAAAGUCACUUGUAUCUCCAGUACAUGUAAGAACAGAUGAAAGCGGUCUUACCUGUCCACAGGUGAAUGGUUCUCUCAGGUGUGUGGGACGAAUGUGAAGCCGCAAGCAAAUCCCGAUUCAAGUAAGUACUGGGGGCGGGUCUUAAACACAAAUGCACCUUGUGUUUUUCCCAAAAAGACUUCCUUAUGGAUAAUGCUUUUAUGGCAUGACAUAAAGUCACCUGAUGAUACAGUCAUGGAAAUUUUAAUUUUAUAUACUUACAUAUUGGAAUGGACCUUUGUACCAUCUGAAAUGCAAGAAAACUCUGGUAGGCCACAAGCAGCAAAAUUAAAUUACAUGGAGAGAUCUUUAUAAUUUUUUAUCAGCACCAUCUGUUUACUUUCACAUAUGAUAUUGUGCUUAUAAGAUAAAGGUCAAUUAGUCUUUACUAGGACUGAAAAAAAAAAAAAAAAAAAAUUGUCUAUAGUCUGCCUGAUCUAUCUAU